CCUACGGGUGGCUGCAGUGGGGAAUAUUGCACAAUGGGGGAAACCCUGAUGCAGCAACGCCGCGUGAGUGAAGAAGUAUUUCGGUAUGUAAAGCUCUAUCAGCAGGGAAGAAAAUGACGGUACCUGAAGAAGAAGCCCCGGCUAACUACGUGCCAGCAGCCGCGGUAAUACGUAGGGUGCAAGCGUGAUCCGGAUUUACUGGGUGUAAAGGGGGCGCAGACGGCGGUGCAAGCCAGGAGUGAAAGCCCGGGGCCCAACCCCGGGACUGCUCUUGGAACUGCGUGGCUGGAGUGCAGGAGGGGCAGGCGGAAUUCCUGGGGUAGCAGUGAAAUGCGUAGAUAUCAGGAGGAACACCGGUGGCGAAGGCGGCCUGCUGGACUGCAACUGACGUUGAGGCCCGAAAGCGUGGGGAGCAAACAGGAUUAGAUACCCUAGUAGUC
rnacentral:rRNA from 1 species